rnacentral:misc_RNA from 1 species
AGGCUUGUUCGGGUUGUGUCUCGAUCGUCCGGUCGCUCCUCCUUUCGGAGGUGGCGUCGGGUGGUCGGACAUUAUCUCGGACGGUGUUGGGACGACGCAUGAGUGGCAAUCACGGUAGGUUCCCUUUGCAGGCUCCGUGCUUCUCGCAUCGAACUGCUUUGGUCUAUCCGUUUCAUUUGAUCGCUCGCCCCGUUGCCCCGAGGGUCGGUUGCGAGUGAUGGGUGGGUUCCUGUGCUCGAUACCGUAUUGCGGUACUCGGAUUCAAUGCUGUCCACGUCUUGGUUCCCCGGUUCCUCCUCCGCCUCCUGGGCGUUGGUGGAUAUCGUGCGGGCAUCGACGCUUUCCGUCCGGACGGUCGUCCACCUCUGGGCGUUUCCUCUCGUGUCGGCGCGUCGAUGCCGUCCGCGUGCUCUUGGGUACGGAGAUGAUAUCUCUUGUUAUCGCGCGGUCCCUUAGUUGGCCGUCGCGAUCUCGACGUGUCGAAGCUCUUUUGCUUCCGCUCGGUCGACCCUCGUGCUUUCCUCGGAGCUCGCGUGGCCUCUCCGCUUCGCGUUCGUCCUUGGAGGCAUCGAGGUCUACAUUGGAAUGCUACCUGGUUGAUCCUGCC